CAUUUCCUCUCCGCUAGGUGGGGGAGGCGCGUGAGGUGGGCGCCGCAGCUUGCACCCGCUUAUACUGGCUGGACCCCGGCUCGGAGCAGCGGCGGCCAGUGCUUCCGCUGUCGGCGGGUUGAGGCCUACCUGCUACCUUUCGGUUCCCGUGCGGGCUCCGAGUCCCGACUGCGACGGGGCCAGCGGCCCCUCCCCUCCCCUCUGAGGAUAGAAGAUGAGCUUCCUCUUCAGCAGCCGCUCUUCUAAAACAUUCAAACCAAAGAAGAAUAUCCCUGAAGGGUCUCAUCAGUAUGAACUCUUAAAACACGCAGAAGCAACUCUAGGAAGCGGGAAUCUGAGACAAGCUGUUAUGUUGCCGGAGGGAGAGGAUCUCAAUGAAUGGAUUGCCGUUAAUACUGUGGAUUUCUUCAAUCAGAUCAACAUGUUAUAUGGAACUAUUACAGAAUUCUGCACUGAAGCAAGCUGUUCAGUCAUGUCUGCAGGUCCAAGAUAUGAAUAUCAUUGGGCAGAUGGUACUAAUAUUAAAAAGCCAAUCAAAUGUUCUGCACCAAAAUACAUUGACUAUUUGAUGACUUGGGUUCAGGAUCAACUUGAUGAUGAAACCCUUUUUCCUUCUAAGAUUGAAUAUUCACGACUAUUCUGGGAUAUUUGUUCUUCCAAAGAACUUAGAAUCAUUUUGUCAAGGUGUCCCAUUUCCCAAAAACUUUAUGUCUGUGGCAAAGACCAUUCUAAAACGUCUGUUCAGGGUUUAUGCCCAUAUUUAUCACCAGCACUUUGAUUCUGUGAUGCAGCUGCAAGAGGAGGCUCACCUCAACACCUCCUUUAAGCACUUUAUUUUCUUUGUUCAGGAGUUUAAUCUGAUUGAUAGGCGUGAGCUGGCACCUCUUCAGGAAUUAAUUGAGAAGCUUGGAUCAAAAGACAGAUAAAUGCUGCUUCUAGUACACAAUUAUUCUCUUGCUUCAUCUACUGCUAGAGCUAUCUCAUUGCUGUCUGUUAUAGACUAGUGACACAAACUUUUAAGAAACAGGAUAAAAAGACCUAUUGUCCCAAAGGUAGGUUGGCCUGAUACCUACAGAGUGAGAAAUUCAGGACACAGCCAGAUUUGAGGCACUGUGUCACCACACUUGUUAUUGUCACUGAGUCACACUUGCUGUUAGUAUGUGAUGGUUAAUCUGUAGUUUAUCAGUUUACAUAUUAUUCUUUUACUAAAGAAAAUGAUUUAGUCUGUUUCAGGUUAUAGCAUAAUGGAUAUUAAGAAUUUCUACCAAUAAUUUAUUAACAAGUUUCCACAACAAAUUUGUUAAUAUCUCAGUCAGCUAGGUUUUAUUCUGCUUAUAGAAGAGGUGUUUUUAAGUUUCCUUAAGGUUUAGAACAAUUUGUGUCACUUUGGAUAAAUAUGUUGUUUGAAGUUAUAUACUAGUGUUUUUAUAGAUAAUAUGCAUAUUUUUUCAAAAUCCAUGAUUGCCAUUUAAAUCAUCAUAUGACAUGUGGGAGUAACCAAAUGACUUUACUUUUUAAUCUUAAUUUGGGAUUUUAUUCACAUACGAACCUAUCUCAAUGUUUAGGAGAGAGUGCAUAUUAGAAAUAAUUGUUUUAAGGCAUCCAAGGUGGUCUUGUAGAUUUUUUUUAAAUACUUCAUUCAGGUUAAUUUGAAUAUGUAGCUUUUGGCUGACAAAAAGCAAACUUCCAAAAAAUUAAGACAAAUUUAGGCCUCAAACCACUAUUUUCAUUCAUGUCGUCUUUCAGACGGCUUUGAAAUUCUGGAUAGAAUGAAAAAUGCUCAGAUUACUUGAUUGUUUUGAGUUUCCUUUUUAAAAAAAUGAUUUCUAUGUGUUUUGGGGUGUUUUUUUGUGUGUGUGUGGCUUGAGACUUAGUGAAGAGUACUAUAGAAAUGCAUCAACUUUAUCCCAAUAAGGAUAAAACUUAAGGAAAAUAAAAAAAAAUCUUGCAAAAAACAUCUUGAAAGGUGUACACAUUUUAUAACACAGUUAAAAGUUUGAUGUGUUUCCUAUUCUUGUGUGUGUUUGUGUGCGCGUUUAAAGGAGACAGCAUUGGAAGAAUAAGUAAAAAAAAGGUCUUCAUUCUGUUAAUAGUUAAAGGAUGGAUUGAGCUCCUCUGGGGGUUUUAUCCUGUGUUAACUAUUGUAUCAAAACCUGAAUUUAUCCUAUUUCUAUUCAGAUAAAAAGGAUCUCCCCUUUUAAUGAAGAAAAGAUCUGAUUUUCAUUAGGCUUCUAGGAUUUAGUGAACUCAGGCGGUUUAAAAGUAUUGAGGCACAAAUAUAUUAAAGACUUGCCAGACAGCAGCCACUUUAAGUUCACCAGCAUUCUGUUUCAGAGUUGUGACUUUUGCAAAGUACCAACUUCUUGAUGGCUUUGGCAAAGGUUAACUUUGAUAGGGUUUUUUUUUUUUUCGUUAUUGUUAUUUAUUUUUAUUAUUCCACUGGAGUAUAAGGAAGAGAAUAACUUAAAAACUCUUAACUCAAUUUCAAUAAAUUAUUAAAUAUAUUCAGGAUUUUAAAGGAAACAAAACAUUUCAUCUAAUUAGGCUGAAACUGUACCUCAUGGUUUUAGGAAUUAAAGAGUGGGAUAAUCACCUAUGAAAAAAAGAGAAAAGCCCUCUAUGAGACAUUCCAUGGUCCACAUUUUAAGUUUAUUCAAAGGUCCCUGUCAAGCUGUAUAUAUGUUUAUGUUGAUUCUUUACAAAUAAGAAGGCAGGUUUCUGGAUACCACUGAGAAUGUUACUGCCUCUCAACUAUUGGCUUUAAGUCUACAAGGAAGUUGCACUUGCAUCAUCAUUUCUAAUAUUUCAAAUAUUCUCAAACAAAAGGGUUCUCAAUUUUCUCCAUCUAUUUUUCAUGAUAGAAAUCCCCCCCUCUCUUCAAGACUCAGCCCAAAAUGAACCAAAGACUGUAACGUUAGAAUAGUAGUAAAGGCAGCAUACUAGUGACACAAAAUUGUUGGUAAUUUGAGACUCAGAAUGGCCUUUUAAAAAAUAAAAACAUUACCAGGUUCCCAUACUAAUCUGGCUUAAUCAGCAAUGCAUCCAAACAUCAGUGUUAACAGUUUUUGUUUAUAUCCAAGGCCAAGGAGUUGAGGGCAGGAGAAUUGGAGGAAUGGGUAGAGGAUGGCCCCUUCUUGACUUGGCUAACGGGCCAACCUUUGCUAACAGUUGGAAGAAAUCUGUCUUUGACUCUCAUUUUUGACUUGUCUCUCUGUGCCCAGCAUAUGCCUGUUGGACAACACUCCCUACCCUGACCCCUCCUAAUCACAAGCCAUCUCUCAAUGUAUGAUCCAUGGGGUGGAGGGGGAGUGCUUUAUAAUAUGCAGUUAAUCCGUUGGUGCUUUUAUUUUCAGGCCUUUAAAAUAAAAUGUGCAGAUUUUUGUUUAAAUAUUGAAAUUUCCUUGUACUAGUUUUUGUAUUUACAGCCAAAUGUAUCUUUUAUUCUUCUCUUGACUGAAUAAAGUGAUUUUAGAGGGCUGCCAGCUAAAAAAGUAUUUCCUAUCACCUUAAGACUUGUAGAGCCCCUAGCUCGUGUAGCUGCCUGUUCAAGAAAUGCAAAUCUGUAGUCAUCAUGACUCUGAUAACAAAGAAAGGAAAGUUUUCCUAGUCAUGUGAGGCAAGAGGAGCAAUCCUGGUGCUGAUUUUAACUUUUGCAAACAUUGUUGAGGUUUCCUGAUUAUACUGUUGGCCUUUUCUCUGAGCAGUGAGGUUAUACUAGAAGUAGAGCUUCUGAAAAACAUUAUUACCUCACAAGCAUAAACAAAUCAGGCCCACAGAAUGUAAGUCGUAGAAAUUUGUUUAGAAGCAGCCCCAGUCACAGCACUGGUGUUACCCCUGUGUGGUUAGAGGAGGCCGUCUGCUGUCUGUAGAACUCCAGCCUAAAAAAUGCUGGCCUGGGACACCAAACUGAGCAUCUUCAACAGGGACAUUAUUUCCUCCUGAUAUUUGUUCCAAUAAGUGGGUUUACUAUUUAUUGUAGAAUUCUGGCAAAGAGGGAAAAUAGUAGUCCCUCAGUCUUCCUGUAUUUUUACAUUAGAUUUUGAUAUUUCAGACUGUAAAAGCCUUUUGGGGGAUAUUACAUGUGACUGUAACUUUACUGAAGCAACUGCAUUGAAAUUCACUUGGGUUUUCCCUCAUUAUCAGAUUCUAUUCCAAACAAGUAUUCUGUAAAUCCAAAUAGACUGCUGAUUUAUUAUGUUUGGUCUACAUAAAAAAUAGCUUGUAUAAGUUAGUUUUGGUUACCAUCUAAAAUAUUUUUAAAUGUUCUUUACAUGAAAACUUACGUUGUAUUUUUAAAUCUUUAGGGGCUUUUCUAUUUUUCUAAGUCAGUUAACUAUACUUUAAAAAAAGUAAUUUGUAUCUACUUUUGUAACUUCAUCAGAAUAAAAUAUAUUGAAAGAAAGAAAUGA